AUUGAACGCUGGCGGCAUGCCUUACACAUGCAAGUCGAACGGCAGCACGGGAGCAAUCCUGGUGGCGAGUGGCGAACGGGUGAGUAAUAUAUCGGAACGUGCCCAGUCGUGGGGGAUAACGUAGCGAAAGCUACGCUAAUACCGCAUACGAUCUACGGAUGAAAGCGGGGGAUCGCAAGACCUCGCGCGAUUGGAGCGGCCGAUAUCAGAUUAGCUAGUUGGUGGGGUAAAGGCCCACCAAGGCGACGAUCUGUAGCUGGUCUGAGAGGACGACCAGCCACACUGGAACUGAGACACGGUCCAGACUCCUACGGGAGGCAGCAGUGGGGAAUUUUGGACAAUGGGCGCAAGCCUGAUCCAGCAAUGCCGCGUGCAGGAUGAAGGCCUUCGGGUUGUAAACUGCUUUUGUACGGAACGAAACGGCGAGCUCUAAUAAAGUUUGCUAAUGACGGUACCGUAAGAAUAAGCACCGGCUAACUACGUGCCAGCCGCCGCAGUAAAAC
rnacentral:rRNA from 1 species